rnacentral:rRNA from 1 species
GGUUUGGCUGUUCGCCAAUUAAAGCGGUACGCGAGCUGGGUUUAGACCGUCGUGAGACAGGUCGGUCCCUAUCUGCUGUGGGUGUAGGAGAUUUGAGAAGGUUUGCCCUUAGUACGAGAGGAUUGGGGCGGACGAACCUAUGGUGCUCCAGUUGUCACGCCAGUGGCAUAGCUGGGUAGCUACGUUCGGAAAGGAUAAGCGCUGAAAGCAUAUAAGC